UACGGGGGGGGCAAGCGUUGUUCGGAAUUACUGGGCGUAAAGGGCUCGUAGGCGGCCAACUAAGUCAGACGUGAAAUCCCUCGGCUUAACCGGGGAACUGCGUCUGAUACUGGAUGGCUUGAGGUUGGGAGAGGGAUGCGGAAUUCCAGGUGUAGCGGUGAAAUGCGUAGAUAUCUGGAGGAACACCGGUGGCGAAGGCGGCAUCCUGGACCAAUUCUGACGCUGAGGAGCGGAAGCCAGGGGAGCAAACGGG
rnacentral:rRNA from 1 species